rnacentral:rRNA from 1 species
UACGUAUGGCGCAAGCGUUGUCCGGAAUUAUUGGGCGUAAAGAGCUCGUAGGCGGCUUGUCACGUCGAUUGUGAAAGCCCGAGGCUUAACCUCGGGUCUGCAGUCGAUACGGGCUAGCUAGAGUGUGGUAGGGGAGAUCGGAAUUCCUGGUGUAGCGGUGAAAUGCGCAGAUAUCAGGAGGAACACCGGUGGCGAAGGCGGAUCUCUGGGCCAUUACUGACGCUGAGGAGCGAAAGCGUGGGGAGCGAACAGG